UAUUAAAAUAUUUAUUUAUUUCUAUUAUUAAAAAGUGGUGUGUUUAAUAGAAUAAUAAAAUAGUUACACAUAGCAUAUCAUGUGUAUCUUGUUCUAAUAUAUGUGAAUUAGUUUUUAAUACUAGAAAUAAAUAAAUUUUUUUAAUA
rfam:Gossypium hirsutum cultivar TM-1 chromosome 1, whole genome shotgun sequence